CACUUUUUCCAAAAUCCAAAUUAAAAUAAGAGAGUAAAAAUAAGCACUUGUCCGGAAAAUUUUACUAAUUUGGAAGAAUUGGCUCCAACACGAUAUUUGAUAGUUGAUAAGUGUUUAUGAAAUUAAUAAUUUAUUUAUUCUAAAUUCUAGAAUUUUGUUAUACAUCUAAUACAGAUACGAAUCUAUAACAUUUGUUAAUACAUACUUGUUGUUAAUAAAAAAAAGUUACAAAUAUGGUAUUAUCUUUUAGUGUUUGUCACAAACGGGCCUGUAAUAAUUCCAAUUCAACAUUUCAGAAACUCAUUAUAAAAUUAUGGAUUCUCAAAUAAUCCAGAAAGAUUAUUGAAAUGGAAAGAAAUUUGGAUCCUUGAUACAGUUUUAAAAUGGAAUAUAUUGUGUUCUGUUCAUUUCGAAUAAAAUAGCAUCCAGAAAAAAUACAAAUGUCUAGGAAAUGAUUGUGUAAAAAGUAUUGAUCCAAUAAAUUCACAGUCUGUUACUGAUUCUAACAUGUUUUAAAAGUCAGAUAAUUUGUCAUCAAAUGCUAUUAUAUUGUCAAUGAUGCAAAAAAUAAAAAUAGUAUAACAUGUACCAUGAGGAUUGGCGAUUUGAGCCCAAAAAUUUUUCAAUGCUCUUAUUAAUGAUUAAUCGAAAUAUAACAAUAUUAAGUAAAAAAAUUGAUGUUAAUGUUCUUGAAAAGAAAAAUUGUUGUCUGACAAUGGACUAAUUGAGUAAGAAAAAUAUUUAUAUUAUGGUGAAAUAAAUAUUAGUAUUAUAUAAUAAUUAAUAAGUAAAUUAUAAUACAAAAUAUGAGGUAAUAGGAAAACAGCACAAGGAAAAAAAUCAAUAUACAUAUUUAUUUAAUUGUGUUUGUAUUUUUA